rnacentral:rRNA from 1 species
UACGGGGGGGGGUAAGCGUUGUUCGGAAUUACUGGGGGUAAAGGGCUCGUAGGCGGCCAACUAAGUCAUACGUGAAAUCCCUCAGCUUAACUGGGGAACUGCGUGUGAUACUGGAUGGCUUGGAUUUGGGAGAGGGAUGCGGAAUUCCAGGUGUAGCGGUGAUAUGCGUAGAUAUCUGGAGGAACACCGGUGGCGAAGGCGGCGUUCUGGACUGCUACUGACACUGAGGAACGAAAGCCAGGGGAGCAAACGGG